GUACAGGCUUAGCUUAACCCUGGCCAACCGCGCUGAAGGUGCAUUUUCUUCUCAUGUGGACAGAACAGACGGAAGGACUGGUCUGAGCGGCCGCCCACAUGCCGUUCCUCUGGUGAGGCUGAGAGACAAAGCCCAGGAGAACCUGGAGGGCACAUCUGGCUUCGGACGGAGGGACCCCCAGAGGAAUGAAAGCCCCAUCAACUAGACAGAAAAAAAAGAAAUCCAAGGGUCCAAAGUGCCCUCAGGAACUUUACAUGCAAACGUCCAUGGGUGAACACCCUUGGAUGAGUUUGGAGCAGGACAUGGUAGAUGGGCGUGGGAUGCUUUCCAACAAGCCUGCCUUCCCUGACACACUCACUGUCAGCAGACAAAGUUGGAUGAAUCAUUCAACCUUCCUAUCAUAACACUUGAACUUUAUUAGGAGGAAAAGUUUGAACAAACAGAAAUGUUCACUUCCUCUGAACUGGAUCCAUGACACCGCAAAAUUUUGGAAAAGUGAAGGAAACAUGAAAAUCACAGAAGGAGAAAGGCAAAAAAAUUAAAGAAACAAACAGCACAAGGGUAGACUCAACUCCAGACUGGUGACAGUGUAUUCGGGUCAAAGCUCAAGAUCUGAAAACUGUGUCUUAAUGGCCCACUAAGUCGUGGUCCUCCAUGCUUCUGCCACGUAUGUGAUUUAGAGGGAAGUGGUCCAGUCCCGAGGGGCUCGUGAGCCUGUAUGCGUGAUGGUUCAAUUGAGAGCACCAAGUGGCCCAGUCAGGGAGGUGGCAACACAAAGGUCAGGUGUGCAGGAGGGGACCAUUCAUCAGCCCAACACGUGAGCAGGCCCAGGGCAGCGCACAGGAUGAGAGCCAUCUGCUAGCUUUGCUUGCAAGACCCGAUUGAGAAGCCACCAGCACAAAACCACAAAGGAGAAGAUGAAGCUGGAUUUCCGGAGGAAGAAGCAAAGAUUUCUACCCAGAGCUGAGGUAAGAGCUUUAUUCUUUUUUUUUUUUCCUUCAGUGAUGAAGAAAGAAUCCUACUUCCCUCCAGUUUGGGAUAUUUUUAGCACACGUGCCUCAGCAUUGCCGGCUAACCUGUCUGGCCAUGUCUUUUCCUCGGCCUGAGGUUGCUUUCCCAUUACCUAGAGUAUAAGAUAUAGCACAACAUAGAAGGCCUUCACGAUGGGACCCUCCCCGUCCUCACCUUCAUCCCCUUCCUGCAGCCCUUGGCUCCAGCUUGGAGAACGAGCUUCCAUCCGUUGCUUGCCUGCCUGGCCACGCUGCACUCCACAGCCCAUCUCAGCACCCUGACUCUCCGAAGCCUGACCACUAAGGGGUUCCCUCUCCUGCAACCCACGCCCUAGCCUACUUAUGUUUCAUGGUAAUAAAGACUGGAACAUCACAGGAAGUUCUCCGAAUGCAUGGUGACUACUGAUGUAGCAUGCAUUUGAAUUCUGUGUGUAUACUCACACACCGGCAGGUACCCCCACACAAGCAUACACGCACAUGCGCACACCCUCACCGCCUCCUGCAGCUGCAGGGAUCCGGGUUCUUGUUAGACCCUUUGCCAUAGGGUUCUGACCAGGGACCAGGCAGUGAGAUGGAUACAAUGAGACUGAGUUGUAGAUCAGAAAGGAAGUUUGAAACUUAAAAACUGCUUCCAGUGCUGAGAGAUUUCCUAGACAUGGGCCUCGGCUUUCAGCUCAGACAAAGUAUGCAAUUUGGCAUGAGGGAGAGUAGGCAGUGAGUGGGAGCAGAGAGAGAGGCACAGGGCUCAUGCACACUCCUGCCUGGCCCUCCAGCUCCCUGGCCAACUGGCCCCUGCCAAGUGGCUUUAUCUGAAGAGCCAAAUAUUAUUUUCAUUUGGAAACAGGUCUUUCCCCAAACACUGCAGAAUGACAAGAGUGUCAAAAAGUUGAGCCUUUUAACUGUCAAAGCCAGUGGAACCAAACAAACAGAGGCAGCCAGGUGAGUGCAGAAAGGGACCCCUGCAUUGCAAAGCAGGUAGAGAGAGAUGCGGGAGUGGGUAUUUCCACAGGAAGAGGCUGCAGGAACAGUCAAUUGCACUGAGACAUAAUUCUGUUCCCAAGCCCUAGAUUUCAAUAAGUCUGGCACGAAGGUGGCAGGAGGAGAAGGGAUAUCUGAAUCUCCAGUGUUCCUCAGCUCUGAGGCUGAUGCAGUUUGUAUUCCAUUAAAACAGCUGAUCUCUUAUCAGGAACACAAUUGCUGGAUUUAGAAAGCCCAGGACUGAUUAUUCAGACAGGUGAUAUGAGCCUAUGGUUCUGUGGUCUCCUAGAGGCCUAAGAAAGGUCCUGCUACCCAGAGAGUGACAGAAGCUUUCUUAGUAACUAGGGAAGCACUGCCAGUGUGAUCCGCAGUACGUCCGUGGUGUUGAGACAGCACUUUUAUAAUCACGUACCAUGUACAGUGCAGGUUAAGUAGGCAUUGCAGACAGCCAGAAACUCGGAUCAUUGGCUAAAAGGAUGGGUUUUUUCUAGGGCAAAAUUUAUCUCUAAAUAAUCAAGAUCUGCCUUACAAGUCACCUUUCCUGUUGUAAGUUAGGAACUACUGUAUAAAUCAUUCAGAUACAUUAAUUUAAAAAAACACCUUUCUUCCCACUUCUCAUGGACACAGUCAAGAGCACAGAACGAGCCCUGUGUGGCCUGACUUCCUACUCUGAGUAGGAAACUGCACCAAGGUGGGGGGUGCUGUGGUUCGGGUCUGGAUGUCCCCCAGAGCCUCGUUCCGACAGGUGGCUGAGCCUGGAGUGUUUGAUGCUGGGGUCAAGGGCCUGUGACUACUAAACCACUACAUGUGAGUGAUUCGUUUAGCUCCGCCCUAAUCCGGGUAGUCUGGAUGGGAUAAAAGAGGCGGAAAGACGCGGUGAAGGCCCCUUGUUGCCUUUGCUACCCUGUGCACACCAUGGUGUUUCUCCUCUGCGAGGCCUGUUUGCCAUCCCAGCCUCGCAGCCAGCCAAUUAUGGACUGAAACCUCUACGAACUGAAAGCCAAAUAAAUAAAGCCCUUCCCUUUAACUUUGGGUGCCGGCUAUCUUGUCUCAGCAACGAGAGAAAAGUAACGAACACAGAAGAUUUCCCUACCUACCAGUAAGUUCAAAGCCUGCAGAAACAGGAUUUGGGAAGACAGAAAGGUGGGAACAAGGGAGCAAACCUAAUGAAAUCCAGCGGGGACGAAGCCUUUCCUUACCGUAGCAGUGUGGUGUGGUGGCAGGAGUGUGACCAGCGUCUGUCCCAGUACCCCACUUGUUAGCACUCAAGGCCCCUCCGAGCCCCAGUGUCUUCAUGCGUAAUGCAGGCACCACUACAGCCCCAUCCCAGGGAUACUGUACAGAUUAAGUGAGAUUCUGCCAAUGAACAGUGUUUCCCUCUUUAGUCCUUUUAACAUGCAAUUCCCUUUUUCAGGUAUCUGCCUUCAGACAAGGCAUGAAUGCCAAUCUGCAUCUCCACGCUGUCUGCUUUUCGAGGAAGGGCAAUCCCUGCAUGGGGAGUCUGUGGCUUCCCAGUAUUGCAUGCUGGCCACUUGAGUGGGUCUGAUUCUGGAUUCGGCAUUGAGAACUCACUGUUACAGCACCCCUAAUCCGUCCCCUCUCAUUUGGCCUUUAUCACUCUACAGGUGAAUUUUUAAAAUAAAAAAAUUGUCAAAAUAUAAGGUGGGGAAAUAGCUUAGCAGAAGCGUCAGUGGAAAAGACUUAGAAGCUGAAGCUGCCAAUCUAGUGUGAGUUAGAGACCUAUAGUUAAAAAGUAAUGUGAUGGCCAGGUGUGGUGGUACACCCCUGUAAUCCCAGAACUCAGGAGGCUGAGGCAGAAGGACUGCCCUGAGUUCAAGGUCAGCCUGGACUAGUGAGACCUUGUCUCAAAAACCAAAAAACCAAAAAAAAAGGUAAAUGUGAUGAAGUAGGGAGGGAGUGGAUAUCAGGAGGGAGAUGUAUGUCCCUCCCUCCUUAUCCUAACUCGGAAUGCCUCAUUGUAACACCCCAGGGGGCAAAAUAAAAUAGUAUCUGACUAUGUGCCUGUGUACUCAGCACUAGGGAGGCUGAGGUGGGAGAAUCAUUGAGUCCGGGAGUUCAAGAUCAGCCUGGGCAACACUGUAGACUCUGUGUGUCUCUCUCUCUCUCUCUCUCUCUCUCUCUCUCUCUCUCUCUCUCUCUCUCUCUCUCUCUCACACA
rnacentral:lncRNA from 1 species